GACGAACGCUGGCGGCGUGCUUAACACAUGCAAGUCGAACGGAAAGGCCCUGCUUUUGUGGGGUGCUCGAGUGGCGAAAGGGUGAGUAACACGUGAGUAACCUGCCCUUGACUUUGGGAUAACUUCAGGAAACUGGGGCUAAUACCGGAUAGGAGCUCCUGCUGCAUGGUGGGGGUUGGAAAGUUUCGGCGGUUGGGGAUGGACUCGCGGCUUAUCAGCUUGUUGGUGGGGUAGUGGCUUACCAAGGCUUUGACGGGUAGCCGGCCUGAGAGGGUGGCCGGCCACAUUGGGACUGAGAUACGGCCCAGACUCCUGCGGGAGGCAGCAGUGGGGAAUAUUGCACAAUGGGCGGAAGCCUGAUGCAGCAACGCCGCGUGCGGGAUGACGGCCUUCGGGUUGUAAACCGCUUUCGCCUGUGACGAAGCGUGAGUGACGGUAAUGGGUAAAGAAGCACCGGCUAACUACGUG
rnacentral:rRNA from 1 species